rnacentral:rRNA from 1 species
UUAGUCCGCACGAGCGCAACCCCUGCCCUUAGUUGCCAUCGGGUAAAGCCGGGCACUCUAAGGGGACUGCCGGCGAAAACCCGGAGGAAGGUGGGGAUGACGUCAAGUCCUCAUGCCCCUUAUGCCCUGGGCUACACACGCGCUACAAUGGGCGGUACAGAGGGAAGCGAAGCCGCGAGGGGGACCGAAUCCCUAAAGCCCCCCCCAGUUCGGAUCGCAGGCUGCAACUCCCCUGCGUGAAGGCGGAAUCCCUAGUAACCGCAGAUCACCCACGCUGCGGUGAAUACGUUCUCGGGCUUUGUACACACCGCCCGUG